rnacentral:tRNA from 1 species
UCCUCAGUAGCUCAGUUGGUCAGAGCACCUGACUGUUAAUCAGGGUGUCGCUGGUUCGAAUCCAGCCUGGGGAGCAUAUUUAAAAAAAUGAUUUAUUAUCAG